AUUGAACGCUGGCGGCAGGCCUAACACAUGCAAGUCGAACGGUAACAGGAAGAAGCUUGCUUCUUUGCUGACGAGUGGCGGACGGGUGAGUAAUGUCUGGGAAACUGCCUGAUGGAGGGGGAUAACUACUGGAAACGGUAGCUAAUACCGCAUAACGUCGCAAGACCAAAAAGGGGGACCUUCGGGCCUCUUGCCAUCGGAUGCGCCCAGAUGGGAUUAGCUAGUAGGUGGGGUAACGGCUCACCUAGGCGACGAUCCCUAGCUGGUCUGAGAGGAUGACCAGCCACACUGGAACUGAGACACGGUCCAGACUCCUACGGGAGGCAGCAGUGGGGAAUAUUGCACAAAGGGCGCAAGCCUGAUGCAGCCAUGCCGCGUGUAUGAAGAAGGCCUUCGGGUUGUAAAGUACUUUCAGCGGGGAGGAAGGGAGUAAAGUUAAUACCUUUGCUCAUUGACGUUACCCGCAGAAGAAGCACCGGCUAACUCCGUG
rnacentral:rRNA from 1 species